rnacentral:rRNA from 1 species
AGGUACUCGAGUGGCGAACGGGUGAGUAACACGUGGGUGAUCUGCCUUGCACUUCGGGAUAAGCCUGGGAAACUGGGUCUAAUACCGGAUAGGAACCGUCUUUAGUGUGGUGGUUGGAAAGUUUUUCGGUGCAAGAUGAGCUCGCGGCCUAUCAGCUUGUUGGUGGGGUAAUGGCCUACCAAGGCGUCGACGGGUAGCCGGCCUGAGAGGGUGUACGGCCACAUUGGGACUGAGAUACGGCCCAG